ACCAUGAAAUGAGUCUGGGACUUUAUAUCUCUCUCCCCCUUCCAAUCUUAGUCUGGAGUCUUUUCUGUUCACUUGGCAGUACACUGUAACCAUUAGAAUUGUUUUAUCAGCCUGUUAAUAUUUUUGUUAAAAACCUCAUUAAAGAUGGAAACAAAUAUUGUCAUUUCAAACUAUUUCUUUUUUGUCAUUUUUAAUAGAUCAGAUAUCACUUAUUCCCAAUUGUAAAUAAGGCUAGUAAGAUCACUUUGCAUGUCUUGG